rnacentral:lncRNA from 1 species
CAAAACCAAAGCCCAAAUCAGUAACCCAAUACCCAACUAGCCUAACCCACUAACCCUCAGCCCAAAUACCCAAACCUAGCCCAAAUCAGAAAACAACAAAAAAAUGUAACCCUAACCCUAGGUGCGCCGCACCUAGGGUCGUCCACUUGCUGGCCGCCGCUCUGCCACCGCCGCACGUCCCACGUCGCCCACUUGUGCCAUCAAAUCACCUGCAAGAAGAAAGAACACGCAAGUAGCAAACAGAAACAGAAAUGACAAGUAAAAAAAUAUGUAAAAAAUGGCUAUAUAAAAGCCAUUCGAAAAUGUAAAAGGGGGUUCUUCGGAAAAAAAAAAGAAAAAAUCUGAAGAACAAAGAUUAAAAAAGCAAUAAAAGGUCACUCUUUUUUAUUUCGUUUAUUUAUUUAUUUUUUUAUUUCGAAAUAAAAAAUAAAACAAGAAAGGAGGCAUUUUUACCCUCUUUUACCGACGCCGGAGCG